GACGAACUGUCCAAACGUUGUUCGGAAUCACUGGGCUUAAAGGGCGCGUAGGCGGUCAAACAAGUCAGGGGUGAAAUCCUGCAGCUCAACUGUAGAAGUGCCUCUGAUACUGUUUGCCUAGAGGGAGAUAGGGGUGUGCGGAACUUCCAGUGGAGCGGUGAAAUGCGUUGAUAUUGGAAGGAACGCCGGAGGCGAAAGCGGCGCACUGGAUCUCUUCUGAUGCUGAGGCGCGAAAGCUAGGGGAGCAAACGGG
rnacentral:rRNA from 1 species